UACGUAGGGGGCUAGCGUUGUCCGGAAUCAUUGGGCGUAAAGAGCGCGUAGGCGGCCAGAUAAGUCCGGUGUGAAAGUCAAAGGCUCAACCUUUGAAUGCCGCUGGAAACUGUCUGGCUAGAGUCCGGAAGGGGCGAGUGGAAUUCCUGGUGUAGCGGUGAAAUGCGCAGAUAUCAGGAGGAACACCAAUGGCGAAGGCAGCUCGCUGGAACGGUACUGACGCUGAGGCGCGAAAGCCAAGGGAGCAAACAGG
rnacentral:rRNA from 1 species